AGAAGCUUCAUGAGGAGCAGCACCAGUGGUCUGACGCGUACGACACGCGCCAGCGACUGACGACACUGGCGUCAGGUGAGGCCGAACCGAAAGGGGAAGCCAUUCUGGCGUUUCUCGAGAACGAGAUCGGUCUCGAGGCCAUGCGGCGCAAGAACUAUGCGGAGGCGGCGCGCCGCUUUCAGGCGGCGAUCAGCCGCGACCCGCGAGCGGUGCCUGCGUAUCUCAACCUGGGGGACGUGCGCGUCGCCGAAGGCCACGAUGCCGCUGCGAUGGAGAUCUGGGAACACCUGGUGCAGGCCGCUCCCGAUCGGGCGUACCUGGCGUUCGAGCGGCUCGAAGCCCUGUCCGUGAAACUCGGGACGCCGGAGCGAUUCACGCGCCUGUGCCUGCGCCUCAUCGAGGAGAACCCGCAGGAUUGGCGGGCGCGGCUUGCGCUCUCGCGCCAUCUCACCGCGAGCAAUCAGGCACAGGAAGCGCUCGACCUGCUGUUUGCCGCGCUCGUGCAGAAUCCCCACGCACUCAGCAUUCACCAGGCCAUCUGGCGCGCCCUCAGUCAGCUGCGGCAUCCCGCGCCGCUCGUGGAUCGGUACCGCGAUCUCACCGAGCAUGCGGUGUUCUAUCUCGACCCUCACGUCUGCAUGCGCUGCCGGUAUCGCAGUACGGAACUGCUCUGGCAGUGCCCGCAUUGUCAUGACUGGAAUACGUUCGUGGAGGAGCGGAUCGCCCCCGCCCAGGACGCUACCGAGGUUGAAGCGUAGCGAGCGCGCGAUAGACCUCGUCGAUCUGCUGGUCGGUCUCGGCAAAGGUCCCAUCCGUCCGAAUGACCCAGUCAGCGCCCCUGGUCUUCUCCACCGCUGGCCACUGCGCGUCUAAACGCCGAUCGGCCUCUUCUUCGCUGAGGCCGCGUUCCAUCAGGCGCGCGCGCUGCGUCUCUUUCGCGCACAACGUCGCAAUCAUGCGAU
rnacentral:misc_RNA from 1 species